AUUGAACGCUGGCGGCAGGCCUAACACAUGCAAGUCGAGCGAGAGGCGGACGGGUGAGUAAAGUCUGGGAAACUGUCCGAUGGAGGGGGGUAACUACUGGAAACGGGAGCUAAUACCGCGUACCAUCAGAGGUGCCCAGAUGGGAUUAGCUCGUAGGUGGGGUAAAGGCUCACCUAGGCGACGAUCCCUAGCUGGUCUGAGAGGAUGACCAGCCACACUGGAACUGAGACACGGUCCAGACUCCUACGGGAGGCAGCAGUGGGGAAUAUUGCACAAUGGGCGCAAGCCUGAUGCAGCCAUGCCGCGUGUGUGAAGAAGGCCUUCGGGUUGUAAAGCACUUUCAGCGGGGAGGCGUUACCCGCAGAAGAAGCACCGGCUAACUCCGUGCCAGCAGCCGCGGUAAUAC
rnacentral:rRNA from 1 species